AUGGAGCGUGCACCACGUAAGAGGGGAUUUCCAACUGAUCCCAAGGAAUACAAGUUAUAUGAGGAAGUUGGAGAAGGAGUUAGUGCCACAGUUUACAGGGCUCUUUGUGUCCCGCUCAAUACUUUUGUUGCCAUCAAAGUUCUUGACCUUGAGAAGUGCAGUAGUGACCUGGAUGGAAUAAGGCGGGAAGUACAAACCAUGAGCUUGAUUGACCAUCCUAAUCUUCUUCGCGCAUGUUGUUCAUUUGCAAAUGACCAUCAACUUUGGGUUGUCAUGCCUUUCAUGGCUGCUGGAUCUGCCCUGCACAUUAUAAAAACUAAUUUUCCAGAUGGGUUUGAGGAAGCAGUCAUUGCCACACUUUUGUGGGAAGUUCUCAAAGCUCUCGUCUACCUACACUCUCAAGGGCAUAUUCACAGAGAUGUAAAGGCUGGAAAUAUCCUAAUAGAUACAAAUGGAGCUGUUAAGCUAGGAGACUUUGGAGUAUCUGCCUGCAUGUUUGACACUGGGAAUAGACAACGAGCUAGAAAUACAUUUGUUGGGACCCCUUGCUGGAUGGCUCCUGAAGUCAUGCAACAACUGCAUGGCUAUGAUUACAAAGCUGACAUCUGGUCCUUCGGGAUAACAGCAUUAGAACUAGCACAUGGUCACGCUCCAUUUUCGAAGUACCCUCCAAUGAAGGUGUUGCUUAUGACGUUGCAAAAUGCACCACCAGGUCUAGACUACGAGAGGGAUAAAAGAUUUUCGAAGUCUUUUAGGGACUUGGUUGCUGUAUGUUUAGUCAAGGAUCCACAGAAGCGUCCCUCUUCAGAAAAGCUGUUGAAACAUUCGUUUUUUAAGCAAGCGCGAUCAGCUGAUUUUUUGGCAAAGAGUAUUCUUGAGGGACUUACUCCACUGGGCGACCGCUUUAGGGCGUUGAAGGCAAAAGAGGCUGACUUACUUCUCAAUAACAAGCUUGGUCCAGAGAGCAAGGAGCAGUUAUCACAGAAAGAAUACAUAAGGGGCAUCAGUGGCUGGAAUUUUAAUCUGGAGGACUUGAAAACCGCAGCUGCCCUUCUAGACAGUUCAAAUGGCACAUACCAUUUUGAUGGUGCCAACAACAAAGAUAGGAAUGGGCUACAAGACGUUUAUAAUGAAUCAGAAAAUAUUUAUCAGGAAAGGGUUAACCAUGGUGCUUCUGCAAGGCAUGAUGAGCAUGAGAUACAAGAAGUAGAAGAUUUGGAUGGAGAUCUUGCCUCUUCCUUUCCAACCCGUCCCCUUGAGGCACUAAAGUCUUGCUUUGAUGUCGGCGGUGAUGAUGAUCCGGACCCUACUGCUACGAAUUUGCGGGUACAACCAAGCAUGGAGUCUAUAUCACCUGUGCAGCAGUUCUCAGAAAUGGACCAUAGUAGAAGUGACAACUGUAAUGGUGAAAAUCUGGAAAGAAGUGUCUCCGUACCCUCAAAUUUGGGAAAUAGUGUAUAUCCCAAGUUCUCAAGUGGUUCUCUUAUUCCCGAGCAUGUUCUUUCGCCUUACAAGAAUGUUGGUAGUGAUUCACGAAGGAAUGACUUUCAUCAGAAAAAUCCGAGCAGCAGAAACCGAAGUGGCCCUUUGUUUUUCCGUCAAAUGAAGGACAUACGCCCACAUCUGUCUGUUGCACCCGAUGAGGCGUCGGAAGGAAAUGUUGUCCAGCGAAGGGGGCGAUUUCAGGUCACAUCAGAUAAUCCUGGUCAAAAGGUAGCUUCAUCAGCAAGCAGCAACAGCAGGCCAAAUUUACCAAGUGGCGUAACACGGCCAGCUUCCAAUUCAUCCACAAUUCUUCCGACACUACAAUUCUUGAUGCAGCAAAAUUCUAUGCAAAAGGAAGUGCUAAGUAGAUUGAUUUCUUCAAUUGAGGAAACAUCUGAUGUUUCCGAUGCAAGUACAGUUGGUUUGUCUCAGUCAUCUGGAUCGCUUGCCAGAGAGAAGGGAUUGGAGUCGUAUGUCGUCCAACUACAGCGAAGUGUCACAGAACUCGCUGAGGAAGUGCAGAGAUUGAAGCUGAGAAAUAAUCAGGUAGUUGUAUCAAUUGUAAUUGUAAGUAUUUUAGCGAGUUCACAUUAUAGUAUAAUCUUUGAUUUGUACAGCAUGCUUUGUGUUAUCGGUGAGGAUUAG
rnacentral:rRNA from 1 species